rnacentral:rRNA from 1 species
GACGAACGCUGGCGGCGUGCUUAACACAUGCAAGUCGAGCGGUAAGGCCCUUCGGGGUACACGAGCGGCGAACGGGUGAGUAACACGUGAGUAAUCUGCCCAUCACUUCGGGAUAACUCCGGGAAACCGGUGCUAAUACCGAAUAUGACCACUUCAGGCAUCUGAUGGUGGUGGAAAGUUCCGGCGGUGAUGGAUGAGCUCGCGGCCUAUCAGCUUGUUGGUGGGGUAGUGGCCUACUAAGGCUUCGACGGGUAGCCGGCCUGAGAGGGUGACCGGCCACACUGGGACUGAGACACGGCCCAGACUCCUACGGGAGGCAGCAGUGGGGAAUAUUGGACAAUGGGCGAAAGCCUGAUCCAGCAACGCCGCGUGAGGGAUGACGGCCUUCGGGUUGUAAACCUCUUUCAGCAGGGACGAAGCGCAAGUGACGGUACCUGCAGAAGAAGCACCGGCCAACUACGUG